AAUUGAGACAGGUGGUGCAUGGUUGUCGUCAGCCCGUGUCGUGAGAUGUUGGGUUAAGUCCCGCAACGAGCGCAACCCUUGUGUUUAGUUGCAAACAGGUCAAGCUGUGCACUCUAGACAGACUGCCGUGGACAACACGGAGGAAGGUGGGGAUGACGUCAAAUCAUCAUGCCCCUUAUGAUCUGGGCUACACACGUGCUACAAUGGCCGGUACAACGGGCAGCGAAGGAGCGAUCCGGAGCGAAUCCUAAAAAGCCGGUCCCAGUUCGGAUUGCAGGCUGAAACUCGCCUACAUGAAGUUGGAGUUGCUAGUAAUCGCGAAUCAGAAUGUCGCGGUGAAUGCGUUCCCGGGCCUU
rnacentral:rRNA from 1 species